CAUUCCCUAAGAUUCCAUCCUUAGACUUUCAUUCUCCAUCAGCUCAAUUUUUCUCCUCUCCUAUGACUCCCACCUCACCCACCACCACUUCUAAGCCCACAUCAUUUUAUCAACUCUUCCAAGUUCCAAAGUCACUUUCCUAACUACAUGCUGAAUAUUUCCAACUGUGUGUCACCAUUUCUUCAAACACAACAUGACUAGAACAGAAUUCAUUACACAAGUUAGGGCCUUCUCUACUAACCUUCCUUCUCCACACCACCUGACUUCUUCUCCUGACUUGUCUCUCUCUCCCUCUCUCUCCCUCUCUCUCCCUCCCCCCUCCCCCAUGCCUGUUAUAGGUACCAUUCAGGAGCAAUUCCUGGGAACAGCGACACCGGCAAGGGAACCAGCAGAAAUGAUGAGUGCCACUCGGUCAAGAUAUGAGGACACACUGCUUCUCCCUGUUGCACUGCCCCUCCUCUGGCCUCCAAACUGAGCUCGGUAUUGGAAGAAACAAGUAACAUCUCCAAUAAAAAGUCACCUCUAAGUUGUCCAGACUUAAAACAUUUAAAAGCAAAGACAGGAUUUAGGAGUUAAUGAAAGAAAAGGAGCUUUGCCAAGGACUUCCGGAGGAAGCUGUGAUUCUUACUCAAUGGGCAGCAUAUCUACCUGGAUCAACAAAUUUCACUCUCUUCAUCAGGGAAACCUGUGCUUUGAGUCCUGCCACCAACACAUAUUAACUUUGUAAACUCAGACACCCCACUCCACCCACCCCAGUCAACAUCCUCAGAGAAAAGGCUCUUCAAGAUUCUGGAACUGAUCACAGCAGAUGCAGCCUUUGCUCAGGAUUUUUUUAAGUGAUGGCUCACCAAUCCCUGAAACCAGAGGUGUUCUCCACGUUUCAGCAGAUAACUCCAUGACCAGGUGUUUAAAAUCCUGGGGUAAUAUCGCAUCAUGAUGAAAGGGAUCAAAUAUGAAAAGAAGGCUGUGGAAGACAUUUCCCAAAUACUUCAGAUCUUGUAGGAUAUUCUGGGCUCGAAAAAGCCCGAAGUUGGAGGAAAAGGAGGAAGGGGAGGUCGACCACUCAUUUACUAAAGAAAACGUGCUUCCACUUUGACCUGCUGUGUAUGAAUUUGCAAAAUCCCCCUUCAUUCCAGCAAGAUCCAAUUUGUGCUUGAAUAGGCGCUUCUCUGGCUGGAGCAGAAAGGGCAUGGGUUUGACCGGGCACUGUGUCUGUUUGCUACGGGUCCUUGGGCUGCUGACUAAGUCUUGGGACGGAGUUUGUUUUCAGGUCUGGAGCCAGGAAAACAUUCCCCUUGAUGCGCACAUAUUUGCAGUGUGACACAUGGCUUGGAAGCCUAUCACAUAGACUGGAGCGGCCGCCUGAUUUGUUUCCCAGGAAAGAUUGUCUUCAUGAGAUAUUAUUAGGGAUGAAUGCUGUGUGCGAUGCGCACCGGCCGAGGACAGUAGCCACCUAACUUCAAAGGCUCCCCCCUCUCAGGCCCCUGCAAGCUGGGCUGUGCCAGCCAUAGGCCCAAAAAAGAUCUUUCAGCAGGGAGGGGACUGUGACUUGCCCAGUAGCUGCAUUUGAGAAUCAAAGGGCAGAUUUCAGGGAGUGAUAGGAUGUUUGUCUGGAGCAGGGCUUGGGGACUGCUUUCAUGUGCCGCUGAAGGAACAGAGAGCAGCAUGAAUUCUGAUUGAAUGGUUGGCUCUGGUAUAUGCUUGAAUUAAAACCAAAGUAAACAAGAAAACACCUGCCACUUAACCAGUGAUGCACUUGGCACCACAAGAGGCAGACUAAUGCAGGGGGUUGGGACAAGAGUGUGCUGAAAAUGUCUUGGACCAAUCCACUUGUUCUAGAAGAUGGUGCCAAAAUGCUAGAAAAGUUCUUCUGCAAAGAAGCUAAAAAGAAUGCAGAGUAUUUCACCAGAAGAGCAAAAUGCCCAGGAAAGGGUAUAACAAAACGUUUUGUUUCAUAGGCUGUUUCCAUUACUAGCUGACAAAGAAGGAGGAAAUGGCUUUCUACUUGUCUGGUAGGAAUUUGGGUAAGACUAUCAGAACUCUUGCUGUAACAACAGUGGGGAGGGAAACAGGGAAGCUAAUGGAACACGUGCUUCAGUGAAUUUUUUUUUCCCCAGUAAGCUCUACACUCAAUGUGGGGCUUGAACUCACAACCCUGAAAUCAAGCCUGCCUCUACGGACAGGCUCCCCACCUGGGGGCCUGUAUGUUAGGAACGGUGCAGGGCCACCUACAAUUCCACGCAACGAGUUUCAAACACUGUCAUGAGUUAUUUUCUACAUAAUCUUUUUACCUAAAGAACCACUUCUGUUAUGUUAUUACCUCCGACAGCAAUGAGGCAAUAGAGGGGAUUAAAAAUAAUCACAAUGAGAAAUAAAAUGUCACGCAUGUAGUGAACAGUAAAUAAGUUCUUAAUGAAUGAAACUGGAUUUUUAGAAACAAUGAAGUACGAACAGGAAAAAGUGGGAGAUUGUGGGCAUGCUUAUUUUAAUUUUCUAAGUAUAUGUUCUUGUUCUAAGUAUAUGUUUUCAGCAAUUUGGAGCUCACUCCAGAUUCUAAAUCGCCCUUCCUGAGAUUCACACCUCUACAAAAUUAGGUUAGGUCGCCCUCUGGUGGCGUGGAGCUAAUCUUUCUUCUCACAAAGUGUAUCUUCUGUUACCUUUACGAUAGAAGUUCAGUAUUCUGUUCUACAGCGCUUUCACAUAGAACAAACACAAACUCACAACUUUGCAGAAUGAAGAAAUCAUAAGCAUCUAAUUAUGGUUCCUGUUUAAUUUCUUGCAAAGAGUUCAAAAAGCAAUUUGAAGUUCUUGAAGAACUUAAGGAAUAUUUACUGCACUACUAUAUCAAAAGAGGUGUCCGUAUUACUGAGAUUAAUUGAACGACUAUGUUCAAGAGAAAAGAAAAAAAUUUAGUAAUAGAGUUUCAGUAAUUGUCCAAGCAACAAGAUUAAUCAAUAAACAUUAUUCUAAUCUUGAUACUGUCA